rnacentral:lncRNA from 1 species
UUCCUCGCGGCUUGAAGAAUAAAAUGGCGGUUGUCUUUCUUCAGCAUGCAAAUGUCAAAUGUAAAGAAAUUUUUCCAGCAGUCAAUUUGGUAUAUAUUAAAGCCGAAAUUCUCAACUUUUGCUUUAGUUGCUGGUUUGUCAGAUUGACUGUUAUACAACAUGUUCAUACCUCUACAGCAAAAUUGACUGACUGUGUCACAGUACAUUCCUAGUACUGCAAAUCAUUUUGUUUGCAAUUGACUGUUUCAUGCACAGAAUGUUCAUACUUCCACUGCAAAGAGUUGAUUGGUGUAUGGAACAUGUGAGAAAUCCCUUUGACGUACACUAACACAUAAAAGACCACUAUUAAGCAAACGUUGACGGAAAGAUUUUUAAUGAUGCAUUUGACUGACUGUGUCACAGUACAUUCCUACUACUGCAAAUCAUUUUG